AAUCGAUAUUCGACAUAUUGGACAUUUUUUAUUUUGUUUCAACCAUUUAUCAAUACAUUUUAUAUGAAACACAUGAAGACAAGACAAACACAUGUAGGAAAAUAUACCUCCACAACAACAGCACCAUUGUGAAUGAAUCAAUGAAAAAAAAAGACAACAAAAAUUGCAUAUAUUGGAUAUAUUGGAUAUUAUUGUUAUUUUAUCAAAUACAAUUGAUAUAUUCGGUUUUUCUCUUCGAAAUCAUUUUACAAAUUAAAAAUACAUCAAUUUGUAGUGUAUUUAUUUUAUAAUUUACUAUGAUAUUAUUUAAAAUCAUUUAAGCCGAAACUUUUAUUGUACAAGAUCCAUUGAUACGGUGAUUUUUUUUACAAACAUGGCAUGUCCAUUGUUUGUGAUCUUGUAUCUUGAUGAUGAAAUGAUUCCCUGUAUUUAAUAAUUCAUCACUGAGGCUAAAAUGUCUUGGUCGACCAAGAUUUUUAAUUUUGAAAAUGAGUCCAAUGAUAAAUAAAUUUUUGAAAUUGACCUUUUAUAUUCAAGAAAUUUUUUUUCUCUUGGGUCUACAAUACAAUAAAAUGUAUGAAUUGGUGAAUGACUGGUUUAAUCGAUUGAAUUAGUGAAUAGCAAAAAAUACUACUUCCUCGAUUUUAUUGAUAAAUGGUAAUUAGAAAUAUUUUACUAAACAACAUAUCCCAUAUUACACAAAUAAUUCUCAAUCAACUUUGGUUGUUUGAUGGUCAUGUUUUUUGAGUUUGGUCCAAUACACAUUCAGUUUAUUUUAUCAUGUUUAUUCCUGGGAGCUAUUCAUGGUCCUCUUCAACACCUGACCCUGGAUAUACGCUUGGAUUUUCUCUGUAAACCCCAGGCCUUUUUGAAGUAUCUUGUGACCAAACCAUCCCACAUCAAUACAAUUAGCACUGUGGUCACCUUACUUCCAUACAUAGAUUUCAGUUCGUUGGCCAGCAGUUCGUCAAUUCUGUGUUCGGAAUAAUCCUCUUGUUCGAAAUAACAUAUACUGUUUUAUUAUCUUUUCAACCUACAAGAAACAGUUCAUUUUUCUUAUCAAAACUAUAAUCUAAUUUUUCCCUUUCUUUGUCGAUCUUCAAUGGCCAGAUUCAGAAUAAAAUGCGAUUCUUAUUGCUGGUGUGGAGUUUGAA